rnacentral:rRNA from 1 species
AGAGUUUGAUCAUGGCUCAGGAUGAACGCUGGCGGCGUGCUUAAUACAUGCAAGUCGAACGGAAAUUGACGGUAAACGGAAGGCAGCUUGCUGCCGGAAGUUUUUGUUAAUUUUAGUGGCGGACGGGUGAGUAACACGUGAGCAACCUGCCUUUCAGAGGGGGAUAACGGCUGGAAACGGUCGCUAAUACCGCAUAACAUACCGAAUCGGCAUCGGUUUGGUAUCAAAGGAGCAAUCCGCUGAAAGAUGGGCUCGCGUCUGAUUAGAUAGUUGGUGGGGUAACGGCCUACCAAGUCGACGAUCAGUAGCCGGACUGAGAGGUUGAACGGCCACAUUGGGACUGAGAUACGGCCCAGACUCCUACGGGAGGCAGCAGUAGGGAAUAUUGCACAAUGGGGGAAACCCUGAUGCAGCAACGCCGCGUGAAGGAAGACGGUUUUCGGAUUGUAAACUUCUUUUCUUAGUGAAGAAGAAAGUGACGGUAGCUAAGGAAUAAGCAUCGGCUAACUACGUGCCAGCAGCCGCGGUAAUACGUAGGAUGCGAGCGUUAUCCGGAAUUACUGGGUGUAAAGGGAGCGCAGGCGGGACAGCAAGUUGGAUGUGAAAUACCGGGGCUCAACCCCGGAACUGCAUCCAAAACUGCCGUUCUUGAGUGAAGUAGAGGCAAGCGGAAUUCCGAGUGUAGCGGUGAAAUGCGUAGAUAUUCGGAGGAACACCAGUGGCGAAGGCGGCUUGCUGGGCUUUAACUGACGCUGAGGCUCGAAAGUGUGGGGAGCAAACAGGAUUAGAUACCCUGGUAG